GACGAACGCUGGCGGCGUGCUUAACACAUGCAAGUCGAACGGAAAGGCCCUGCUUUUGUGGGGUGCUCGAGUGGCGAACGGGUGAGUAACACGUGAGUAACCUGCCCUUGACUUUGGGAUAACUUCAGGAAACUGGGGCUAAUACCGGAUAGGAGCUCCUGCUGCAUGGUGGGGGUUGGAAAGUUUCGGCGGUUGGGGAUGGACUCGCGGCUUAUCAGCUUGUUGGUGGGGUAGUGGCUUACCAAGGCUUUGACGGUUAGCCGGCCUGAGAGGGUGAGCCGCGACCCUGGGAGGGAGACACCGCCCAGACUCCGACGGGAGGACGCAGCGGGGGAGCUUGGACACUGGGCCAGAGCCUGAUCCCGCAAUUCCGCGUGAGUGAUGAAGGACGUAGGGUUGUAAAGCUCUUGUACCCGGGAUGAUAAUGACAGUCCCGGGAGAAUAAGCUCCGGCUAACUUCGUG
rnacentral:rRNA from 1 species